AGAGCGGGCCUGGUGCCCUAUUGGUACAGGAUCGCAGAACAGCACAUUCAACGUUAUCGCCAAGGCAAAAUUCCAUUCAUGCUUCACAUGUCUUCUUCCAGCAAACACGUCUUUGAGUGCAUGUUAUUGCCACAGCUUUGGGACAGGGGCCAGGACAACAGGGAGACUUUUCAGGGCUGGGCAGGGAUCGCCCGUCAAGAGCAAGGGGCAGGGUUUUGAAUCAUGUCUUUUGUCUUCUGAAUCCCAAAUGACGGCUGUUUCCAGGAAAUUUCAGUUUCUUUUGUCAUUUUUUUUUUUUUAAAUCUUGGGGCACUCUUUUCUCAUGGGUACAUUCAGAGAAGAGGAAUGUUUGUUCACUGGUGAAGAGAACAUCCCGUGUACUAUCGUGUAGAAGUUGUAGUAGACGCUGUGGUCUUUCCAACAACAAACAAACAUAUAAGGCUAAUUUUGAGACAGCUCGCUUUCCCCCAUGGAAUAGCCAGAUAAAGUCACUUUCUUGAGGAAACACAGCUGCUUCUAAAGAGAGGAAGAAAUGACUUUCUCUGUGGUGAUCGCCCGUUUGGAAUGUCCCAAGGCUACAUUCAGUGCCCCCUUCGCCACUUCCUCCACCUGGGAGCACCGCAGGAGUCGGAAUUCCAAGUGUGGUUCAUCCACAGCCUCUUUCUCAUGGCCUGAAACGUGCUUUUUACUGGAAAACACUCUGAUACAUCCUGAAGCUAAAUGCUUCUUAGAAUACACUGUGAUGUAACACUGUGAUGGAAAUCAUCCCGUAAAAGCCGAGUGAGGGCAAGCAUUCCCCAGUCAGGCGGCGUGAGGCUUGCCUGACGUUCACGCACUUCUAACAAGAAAGGAGGUAGCUCACACUCAACGCCGUUACUUAAGUAAGGUUAAUAGAACAGCAGACAGGAAAAAGCACAAAAACUUAGGAAGACACAGAGCCAUGGGCUCCCCGCCAAACACCUUCGGUGAUUGCAAUACAGAAGACGGCACGUGGAAUCUGCCCUUGACUCCUUGAAAAUACGAUGUGACCGAGUUUUCAGUGUUAACAGGAACCGAGACAAAAACGUUCACGUAUUUUGUUAUCAUCUGUGCUCUGGGACAUGAGUUAUGUUCUUGAAAAUUCUGAGUUUGGGCUACAUUAUUUUAAGAGAAUUCACAAUAAAACCUUAUAUAAU
ensembl:lncRNA LINC02669 long intergenic non-protein coding RNA 2669